GAAUUGUUGUCCGAGUGGUUAAAGGAGACGGAUUGUAAAUCCGUUGUUAAUACUACGCUGGUUCGAAUCCAGCACAAUUCA
rnacentral:tRNA from 1 species